GAUGAACGCUGGCGGCGUGCCUAAUACAUGCAAGUCGAGCGAACAGAUGAGGAGCUUGCUCCUCUGACGUUAGCGGCGGACGGGUGAGUAACACGUGGAUGACCUACCUAUAAGACUGGGAUAACUUCGGGAAACCGGAGCUAAUACCGGAUUAUAUUUUGAACCGCAUGGUUCAAUAGUGAAAGACGGUUUUGCUGUCACUUAUAGAUGGAUCCGCGUCGCAUUAGCUAGUUGGUAAGGUAACGGCUUACCAAGGCAACGAUUCGUAGCCGACCUGAGAGGAUGAUCGGCCACACUGGAACUGAGACACGGUCCAGACUCCUACGGGAGGCAGCAGUAGGGAAUAUUGCGCAAUGGGCGAAAGCCUGACGGAGCAACGCCGCGUGAGUGAUGAAGGUCUUCGGGUCGUAAAACUCUGUUAUUAGGGAAGAACAAAUGUGUAAGUAACUAUGCACGUAUUGACGGUACCUAAUCAAAAAGCCACGGCUAACUACGUG
rnacentral:rRNA from 1 species